AUGGCCGGGGCCCCAGGCGUCGCGGGACCGCCCUCGCGUGCGGGUGGCGGUGGGAUCCCGCGCUGGUGUUCCUGGGGGCCCAGCCCCG
rnacentral:pre_miRNA from 1 species